GCGACGCCACGUGAGGGAUGACGGCCUUCGGGUUGUAAACCUCUUUCAGCAGGGAAGAAGCGAAAGUGACGGUACCUGCAGAAGAAGCGCCGGCUAACUACGUGCCAGCAGCCGCGGUAAUACGUAGGGCGCAAGCGUUGUCCGGAAUUAUUGGGCGUAAAGAGCUCGUAGGCGGUCUGUCGCGUCUGGUGUGAAAUCCCAUGGCUCAACUGUGGGCUUGCAUCGGGUACGGGCAGACUAGAGUGCUGUAGGGGAGACUGGAAUUCCUGGUGUAGCGGUGGAAUGCGCAGAUAUCAGGAGGAACACCGAUGGCGAAGGCAGGUCUCUGGGCAGUUACUGACGCUGAGGAGCGAAAGCAUGGGGAGCGAACAGGAUUAGAUACCCUGGUAGUCCAUGCCGUAAACGUUGGGCACUAGGUGUGGGGCGGGUUCCACUCGUUCUGUGCCGCAGCUAACGCAUUAAGUGCCCCGCCUGGGGAGUACGGCCGCAAGGCUA
rnacentral:rRNA from 1 species